rnacentral:tRNA from 1 species
AAGGUAGCCGUACGAGAACGUGCGGCUGGAUCACCUCCUUUUUAAGGAGUAAACAUACGUUUAAGUUUGCUUAAAACGGGAUGUUAACGGUCGAUUCUUGAUUUACGGCAUUCGGAUUUGUUCGAUUUUGUGGGGCGUUUGUCUGCGUGUUAUUUGGUUGUUUUUUGCGCUGAAGGCGAAAAGCCAGAGAUUAUACCUUAAAUGGCGUGAGUGAGUAGUUGUUUAAACGGGCCUAUAGCUCAGUUAGUAAGAGCGCACCCCUGAUAAGGGUGAGGUCUGUGGUGCAACUCCACAUAGGCC